rnacentral:misc_RNA from 1 species
CAGUAACUCGAGCUCGUUCUGCACGUUUAAGGUUAAUGUGAGCACCUCUCCCAGCACUAUACCUGUUGCUGUCCUGAAAUGUGAGAAGAAUCUUUUAAGGAUGACAAGAUAGGUGACCAGAAGUAAACGGUGGAUGGUGUUGUAUAAAAUUGAACUUCUUACCAUGCUCAACAAAUAAACAAUGAGAAGUAAAAUAUGAAAAUGCUCAACUCUUAAUGAAUAAAUCCUAGAUCAAAAAUCAGUCACUAUUUCAAUUAACAUUAUAUCCAGAGCCAUACAAGAUGUUAUAUUAAAAACCAGGACGCAUGCAUGGAGAGAGAGAGAGAGAGA